rnacentral:rRNA from 1 species
GACGGAGGGUGCUAGCGUUGUUCGGAAUUACUGGGCGUAAAGGGCGCGUAGGCGGCCUGGUCAGUCGGAUGUGAAAGCCCGGGGCUUAACCCCGGAACGGCAUCCGAGACGGCCAGGCUGGAGACCGGGAGAGGAGAGUGGAAUAGCCAGUGUAGAGGUGAAAUUCGUAGAUAUUGGCUGGAACACCGGUGGCGAAAGCGGCUCUCUGGCCCGGUUCUGACGCUGAGGCGCGAAAGCGUGGGGAGCAAACAGG